UACGUAGGCAGCGAGCGUUGUUCGGAAUUAUUGGGCGUAAAGAGCUCGUAGGCGGUCUGUCGCGUCGGCUGUGAAAACCCGGAGCUCAACUCCGGGCCUGCAGUCGAUACGGGCAGACUGGAGUUCGGCAGGGGAGACUGGAAUUCCUGGUGUAGCGGUGAAAUGCGCAGAUAUCAGGAGGAACACCGGUGGCGAAGGCGGGUCUCUGGGCCGAUACUGACGCUGAGGAGCGAAAGCGUGGGGAGCGAACAGG
rnacentral:rRNA from 1 species